rnacentral:rRNA from 1 species
AGGGCACCACCAGGAGUGGAGCCUGCGGCUUAAUUUGACUCAAUACGGGGAAACUUACCCGGCCUGGACACUGGAAGGAUUGACAGAUUGAGAGCUCUUUCUUGAUUCAGUGGGUGGUGGUGCAUGGCCGUUCUUAGUUGGUGGAGCGAUUUGUCUGGUUAAUUCCGAUAACGAACGAGACUCUAGCCUAUUAAAUAGGCCCCCGGGUUUUAAACGCCGGGAGGACUUCUUAGAGGGACAGGUGGCGGUUCAGCCGCACGAAAGAAAGCAAUAACAGGUCUGUGAUGCCCUUUGUUGUCCGGGGCCGCACGCGCGCUACACUGAAGAGAUCAGCGUGCUUUACGUUCCUGCUCCGACCGGAGUGGGGAACCCAGUGAACCUUCUUCCUGAUUGGGAUAGAAGAUUGUAAUUAUUCUUCUUGAACGAGGAAUUCCCAGUAAAUGCGAGUCAUAAGCUCGCGUUGAUUACGUCCCUGCCCUUUGUACACACCGCCCGUCGCUACUACCGAUUGAACGAUUU